rnacentral:tRNA from 1 species
GGCCCAGAUGUUUUGGAUUGCAAAUCCAUUUUUGGGAGUAUUCCCCUGGGCUU